rnacentral:rRNA from 1 species
UAGGGAAUCUUCCACAAUGGGCGCAAGCCUGAUGGAGCAACACCGCGUGAGUGAAGAAGGGUUUCGGCUCGUAAAACUCUGUUGUUGAAGAAGAACGUGCGUGAGAGUAACUGUUCAUGCAGUGACGGUACUCAACCAGGAAGUCACGGCUAACUACGUGCCAG